rnacentral:rRNA from 1 species
GCAGCAACGCCGCGUGGAGGAUGAAGUACUUCGGUACGUAAACUCCUUUCGAUCGGGACGAUAAUGACGGUACCGGAAGAAGAAGCCCCGGCUAACUUCGUGCCAGCAGCCGCGGUAAUACGAGGGGGGCGAGCGUUGUUCGGAAUUAUUGGGCGUAAAGGGUGCGUAGGCGGUUUGGUAAGUCUUAUGUGAAAUCUAUGGGCUCAACUCAUAGACUGCAUGAGAAACUGCCGGGCUUGAGUGUGGGAGAGGUGAGUGGAAUUUCCGGUGUAGCGGUGAAAUGCGUAGAUAUCGGAAGGAACACCUGUGGCGAAAGCGGCUCACUGGACCACAACUGACGCUGAUGCACGAAAGCUAGGGGAGCAAACAGGAUUAGAUACCCUGGUAGUCCUAGCCCUAAACGAUGACUGCUUGGUGUGACGGGUACCCAAUCCCGCCGUGCCGUAACUAACGCGUUAAAGCAGUCCGCCUGGGGAAGUCCGGCCCA